CGGAAUCACUUCCGGGUGGAGCCGGGGCUCAGGGCUCGCGAGAAAGCGUAAAGUCCGCGGCGUGCGUCCUAGAAACGCAGCCGGCAGGCGGCCGGCCUGCGCCGCGGGAAACACACCCCCUUAACGCCAUAGUUCCGGGAUCUUCCUUCAGGACGGGAGCGAAUGGCUCACCGCCCCCAAGUGUCUAGGCACAGAGCCCCCAACCCCUUGUUACAGAAGGCCCCGUGCUGCUAGCCUCUUUGUGAGAAUGCUGGAUUCCACUUCACUGCUUAGAGAAGAUACUCCAGACUAGUCAUGCCAUUGUGAGAAGUACACUAGUAGAUUACUUUCUAAACUCCGAAAGCUACCUUUCCAGUGUGGCUGUCUUGAACUUUUCCAAGUUCAGUUGCUGCUGAAGCUCUUCUGUUCUCCCCAGGGAGGGACAAAGAACUCGACUUCUGGUCAGAGCUGCCGCAGAAGGUCUCGCCACUGGAUCAGGGUCGAUCAUGUCCUGAUGAGGCUACCUGAACUUGAGACACAUCAACUUCACCCACUUCUCAAGCACUGAUGAUAUCCAAAUGCCGCUCUCCAGCAUCGCUGAACCAUGUAUCCAAGGAUUUAUACCACAUCUCUUUCUACAAACCUGUGCCUCCCGCAGUGGCAGCUACCUGGAUCCAAGAUUUCUGCAACAGGAAAGUCAGGUGCCCGGGAGGAAGAUGCCCAAGGAGGAAAGUCGGCUUUGCAUCUCAGACCUGAGUUCCCCACGCUGUGUGCUUAGGGAAGUUCUCUUUCUGCAGACACUGCCGAGUGAUGAGAAAGCUUCCAGAAUCAGAGCUCCAUGGUGACCAAAGCGCAGUUCUGAGGCCUUGAAACACAGGUGGGAAGGACAGGAGCAGGAAAAUCCAGCUAAUUCAAAUUGAGUUUGCAAGAGGUAGAAACCUGUAUUUACCUCCGAGGUAGACUGUUUCUUUGCAGAAGUAAAAGUUAAGGCUGUGGAAAAUGAGGUAUUUGUUUGAGACUCUGUUGUUCCUAGGAGGGACCUGCUAGUCUGAUUGUCUCCUCAGUCAGGAGGGAAAAAAACAUUAAAAAUGCUUGAACAAACCAAAGUGAAGUUCUACAUAGUAUUUAUUGAAGACUGAAUUACGAUCGAGUCAUUCUAGACUGAAAAAAAUACCAGUGUUGGAUUAUGGUAUAUUUGAUGGGACCACCCUAUUGGGAACCCUCAGGAGGUCCGGUUUCCCAUAAGAAAUGGACUUUUUUACUGCCAGGCUUUCUGGGAAGCUGGCAGACUCCAGGAAGGGAAGUGGAGGCUUGAAGCUGGCAGAGGCCGAAGGCAACUCUCUGGGCCUCAGGCUGUUGGGCCUGGGCUCUGAAGACUGGGGAGAACGCGAGGGAACGUGAGGGUGAUGGAGAAGGGAAGUUGGCACGUGCCCAGGAUGUGCGUGUAGAGCAUGCGGGCACCAGGACAUCAGUCAGGGUCCUCGGACAAGGGCCCAUGGGCCUCGUCGACAUACGAAGGAACAUCUCCAGCUCACUGGGGACCAGGCAGUGCUACCUCUAAGGUCCCUCCCGCUUCCUGGCCCUUAUCUUGCCCAAUCUCGCAUCACAACCAGAAGCGUUGCGUCAACCCCUCGGGGGAAGGUUUGCAACAUCUUAGAGAAAAGCAGAACAUGUUCACCGCUGACGUGCAUGGGUCAGCUUCCCGAACGGGUCCUUCAGCAGCCUGGACUGGGAGCAGGUGCAGAUGGGUGUGGCCGCCCUGGGCGUGGACCCAUCCCAGCAGGGGUCUCAAGUGCUCCUGACUCCCAGCAGCUUUCUUUCCAUGAGGACAGCUGUCAGCACACUGUGGUGCCAGGAGAGAGAGGGACCUUCUCUUGGUCUCGUCCCACCACCAAGAGAGAGCACACAGAAGCCGCACCUGUCAGUGGUGAAUCUAGUGAGAAUCACGUCAAUCAUUUACAAGAAUCCCGAACAGCACUUGAUCUUUGGCUACCCUGUUUCUCAUUUCAGUGUGCUUUCACACCUGUAAGUGAGUAGCAGUCCCAGCGGAAGAGUCCAAGGAAAGAUCAUGGACCAGGUAGAAUAAAGCUGGAGGUCAUUUGAAAGCCUACGAGUCUAUCGUGAAUACUUUUCUUCUUGUCAUUUUGCUUUUUCUUUUAUUUAUUUUUUUAAGGCCACACCCACAGCAUAUGGAAGUUCCCGGAGCCCGGGAUUCAGUUUGAGCCACAACUUCGGCAACACAGGAUCGUUUAACCCAUUGCACAGUAGGCCAGGGAAUCAAACCCACACCUCCGCGGUGAGUCAAGAUGCUGUAGUCAGAUUCUUAACCACAGCGGGAUCUCCUCGUUUUGCUUUUUCUUGUGGAAAUGUUCCGACACCAAGAGAAAAUAUAGUGUAAUGAGUCCCGAUGUACCAGGAACCUAGCCUUGAAAAUUGGGAGCAGUUUUGCAGUCUUGUUUCAUUCAUAUCUGCAGCUUUGUUGGAGGCGGCUGCUGGAAUAUUUUAGAGCAGGUCACCGAUGAUAUGUCCUUUCCCCCAUGAAUACUUUGGUGCCAUUGGGGAAAAUCCUUAGAUUAAGCUACUAAUUUGAAAUCUGCUAUAAAUCUAUGUAAUCAAUAAAUCAGAUUCUAAUGAA